AGAUGAGCAAUAUUUGAUCUCUUUUAUGCAUCAUUGUCUACUGCCUGUUUCGAGUUGUAUUAUUAUUUGUUUUUUCAUGAUUCUUAGAUAACAUAUCUAGGUAUUGAAUGCAUUGUUCAAAAUCCAUGCUCAUCUGCUUCUUGGUGAUCUGCUUGUGUUCAAAGUGAAGAGUGUUGAUUUAGUAUACAAGUUACAACAAAUUUGAUUAUUUUGUGAUUUGCCUUGCUUG
rnacentral:lncRNA from 1 species